ensembl:lncRNA
GUUAAGACAUUUAGAGGUUUUAAACGCUAAGAGUUAGGGUGCCCCUGCAUCAUAUGUAAUUCAGAAUAAAAACAGUAAAUGUAACGUCUACCAAUUUUUUUAUUUAUCCCCUAAUGACUAUAUUAAUGCUUUUAAUGCAUAUCCACUUGGCUGAAAACUUUUACUGGGGCUGUGUCUUUACUGGUACACUAAGCAAGUGCUUAGCCUGUCUCUCUUGUGGAAUGGAGCACUGCUCCCCAGUGCAGAAAAAGUUCUUCUCAGGCAUUCAUUUGCUCAGUCAUUAAUUAUUUGUUGAGCACAGUUGUGUCAAGGCCCUUGUUGGAUGUUGGGCAAAGAAAAACAAGUAAGAUAGGACCCCUGCCCUCGAAGAACUCACAUCUAUUCUUAAGCUCUAAAACACCCACGUGGGAGAAACUAGUAUUAUCAUCAUCCCACAGUUGACAAAACUAAUGUCCAAGAGUUGAUACAUCUUGUCUGAAGGCACAUGGUCACCAUGUGAUGGAACACAUCACAUGUAUGUAACAUCAACCAAGGUGAUGGAACACAAGGUGAUGGAACCAAGAUACGAACCCACAUCUGGUUGAUUUCGAAGCCUAACACUCACUGUGUCUGACACUGACACUCACUGUCUGAUACUUGGCACUACAGAUGGGAAGAGGAGAGAACCCACAUUGGCCCUGUACUCCCCUCCAUGUUCUUCCUCUCAUUUCUCUUGACCAUCCCAACACCCCAUCUAUCUGCCCCCUUCCCUCCCUCUCUCCAGUCUUCUCCUCUCCUUCUCCCAUUUCUUCUUUCCCUUCAUUUACUUUCUGUUUCUCUCAUUCACUGGUGAGUUUCCCAUGAAUGGGAAUGGAGUUUCCUCCAUGUGCCAAAACCCAUACUAUGCACUGGACAUCCAAAACUAGAUGAGAUUCACACCCCGUCCUUGAAGAUUUCUCCGUUUGGCUGGGGUGCAUAAGAAUACAACAUGUCACUGAAGAAUCCCAGAGCAGGGUACUGAGGGUCUCACAGAGGAAAUCACCACCUGGAAGGCAGUGAAAUCUUCCAUAUAUGGUAUAUUUGAGCUGGGUGGGUCCUGUGGGAGGAAUAGGACAUUGGCAGAAGAGAAGGGGAGAAGGAAUAGUUCUUGUAGGACUGCAGGCUCUGAGGAGCCUCUGCUGAGUGUAGGGGCACAUGUGAUGGUGGCAGAUGGGUCUCUGCUCCUAUGCACCUGCUUCCCAUCUGCUCCACUCACACAGAGACCCUCAGAGUCAUGUUUCAAACACAUAGCUGCCCAAAUCUGUAGCUACCAAGGGUUCCCUUGACUGGCAGGUUUAAAUCCAAGCUCCUUAGUCUAUCAUUUGUUCAAGGCCCUCCAUGAUUGGCCUCUGCCAAGCUCACAUGCCUCAGUCACAAUUGGAUGACUCAUGUUCUGCAUUCUGCCAAUGCCACACCCUUGUUCAGAAUGUUCCUCUACCUGGAAUGUCUUUGUUCCCCUCUCCCACACACCAUGCCUGCCUAUAAA